rnacentral:lncRNA from 1 species
UUCAAAAUCACCUUUGUUCAACCUGUCAGAACUCUGAAAACGAUAUGAUAACCUACCUGUUUGUUUUAUCAAAAAAAAACUACCUGUUAUUUUCCAACUUAUGGAGAAGUGAAUGAUUUUUUUCAAAAUAUUUUAUAACACUAUCAAACUCUUAAAAUAUCAAAGUGAAACAUAAACACAUUGCUACUAACUUGUUAAUAGCUUGAUAUCUUUCUAAUUGGUUUCAACAACACCAAGCUUAUGACAAUCCAAUUUACCUGAUAAAAAGCUGUAGAAUCGAAUAACGAACUUUCAGUUGUUUUUCAUUAAGAUUCUACAAAGUAUCCCAAAUAUAUAAAAAUAAUUUUAGAAAUGUAUUUUGUGGGAACCGAAAUUUCUCAAUCGAAAUUUAUAGUGGAAGAAAACGGUAAUGAUUUUGAUUCUCUACAUAACCACCU